rnacentral:rRNA from 1 species
UGGGGAAUAUUGGACAAUGGGGGCAACCCUGAUCCAGCCAUGCCGCGUGUGUGAAGAAGGCCUUUUGGUUGUAAAGCACUUUAAGCAGUGAAGAAGACUCCAUGGUUAAUACCCAUGGACGAUGACAUUAGCUGCAGAAUAAGCACCGGCUAACUCUGUGCCAGCAGCCGCGGAAAUACAGAGGGUGCAAGCGUUAAUCGGAAUUACUGGGCGUAAAGCGAGCGUAGGUGGCUUGAUAAGUCAGAUGUUAAAGCCCCGGGCUUAACCUGGGAACGGCAUCUGAUACUGUUAGGCUAGAGUAGGUGAGAGGAAGGUAGAAUUCCAGGUGUAGCGGUGAAAUGCGUAGAGAUCUGGAGGAAUACCGAUGGCGAAGGCAGCCUUCUGGCAUCAUACUGACACUGAGGUUCGAAAGCGUGGGUAGCAAACA